rnacentral:pre_miRNA from 1 species
UACCCAUUGCAUAUCGGAGUUGUGAAUUCUUAAAAUAUCUCCUGUAUGCAUGGAUUAUA